rnacentral:rRNA from 1 species
CCUACGGGAGGCAGCAGUGAGGAAUAUUGGUCAAUGGACGAGAGUCUGAACCAGCCAAGUAGCGUGAAGGAUGACUGCCCUAUGGGUUGUAAACUUCUUUUAUAAAGGAAUAAAACGAGGCACGUGUGCCUUUUUGCAUGUACUUUAUGAAUAAGGAUCGGCUAACUCCGUGCCAGCCGCCGCGGUAAUACGGAGGAUCCGAGCGUUAUCAGGAUUUAUUGGGGUUAAAGGGAGCGUAGAUGGGUUGUUAAGUAAGUUGUGAAAGUUUGCGGCUCAACCGUAAAAUUGCAAUUGAUACUGGCAGUCUUGAGUACAGUUGAGGUAGGCGGAAUUCGUGGUGUAGCGGUGAAAUGCUUAGAUAUCACGAAGAACCCCGAUUGCGAAGGCAGCUUACUAAACUGUGACUGACAUUGAUGCUCGAAAGUGUGGGUAUCAAACAGGAUUAGAUACCCCAGUAGUC